CAGAUCCAGGCUAUGAGAAUCACUUCCACCAGUGAGCUGCUCCAGGUUGGAUUCUGGGGCAAGGGCUAGAGUUCAAGAGAUGUGGGUGUUUGUGGAGGAAAAGCUCAAAAAGAUGGUGCUGGUGAAUUUCGGCAUCGGUCUUAUGCCUGUCCUCUGCAGUUUAAAUGCAAAAUCCAACAAUGACGAAAGACUGCCGUUGUCUGGGAAACAAUUGAUUCGACUCUUUGUUUGGGUAGAAGAGCUCUCAUACAUGACUCAAGGGUGGGGUGACAGCCUCUGUACAAAUGGCCUGCCUGUUUGUUAACAGACUGGAGAAAGUUUUUGUGAGGUUAAAACAGUUCUUG
rnacentral:lncRNA from 1 species